rnacentral:lncRNA from 1 species
CAGCAGAGGCCGAGGGGAGUGCCUGAGCGGGGCGUUGUCAGCAGACACGGGACUGCCUACAGGAGCAGCAGCUAAAAGAAAGGGGAUCCAGGAGAAGCGGCAGAGACACCUUUUCCUGCUGGGCAGAGGGCAUGUUAAGCACCAGGGCCCUCCAGGCCGCCGUCCCCUCCCAGGCUCCUCCCGCGACCUGAUGGGCAGUGCGCCCUUGGACCCCCGGAAUCCCUCCCGGCCGGCCCAGAGCAAGAGGAGCCCCGCCAGGCUCCGCGGACCUUACAAAGGAAUUCAAUUCAACAUGCCAGUAACACUGAGCAACACCUGCCUAGCUUUGUGGUUGUAUGGAAGCAGGGGCAAGCAACAGUCACUUGUAUAACUUGUCACGAUGAGAAGAAAAAGUUGAGAGAAAAUGUUUUAAGAAGAAGUGGAUUUGACAAAGAAUCACCUAAUUUAACUGUGGAAGUAUACUGGAUAAGCCUCAAUCGAGAAGACUGAUUUGUUGGCAAUCUGAGAUUUAAACCUUUCAGCAACAUCCUAAUAUCUAAAUAUCAACAUCAAUAACUAGUCAAUUGCAGAUAACAUAUUGGCUACCACCAGGGCACCUAAGAUUUACUUCCUUAUUGAUAGAUCCAAGUGAGUGAAAUUCGUUGAUAAUGAGAACCAGGAAUAAAAUUUCACUCCCAUCCUCCCUGGCAGUUACCUUGAAUCCUAGAGUACUCCAUCAAGGAAGAAAUACAAGGAAUUGUAAAUGACUACCACCCUGAUUCUUUUGCCCCUGUUAUUGUAUUAAAGGUGGUUAUCACCAGCUCCAUAUCUGUCAUCUACAACUUAUGAAAUAUUAUUCAAAGUGUAAAGUGGAUUGUGGUACUCAAGCUUCAGAUACAAAGGAGUUAAUGCCUGAGUAAAUAUGAUUUUUAAACUAUUGGAUUGAGAAUUGCAAAGAACCCUCAGCACAUAAGGACUACGUCCAAACUCUUGC